AUUGAACGCUGGCGGCGGGCUUUACACAUGCAAGUCGGACGAGUGGCGAACGGGUGAGUAACGUAUCGGAACGUGCCUGGUGGUGGGGGAUAACUAUCGGAAAGGGCAGCUAAUACCGCAUAGUAUUGGAGGAGCCGAUGUGGGAUUAGCUGGUUGGUGGGGUAAAGGCCCACCAAGGCGACGAUCAGUAGCGGGUCUGAGAGGAUGAUCCGCCACACUGGGACUGAGACACGGCCCAGACUCCUACGGGAGGCAGCAGUGGGGAAUAUUGUACAAUGGGCGCAAGCCUGAUCCAGCCAUGCCGCGUGUCUGAAGAAGGCCUUCGGGUUGUAAAGGACUUUUGUCAGGGAAGCGGUACCUGAAGAAUAAGCACCGGCUAACUACGUGCCAGCAGCCGCGGUAAUAC
rnacentral:rRNA from 1 species